AUGGCUUCCCCGUCCCCAUCCCCCUCCCCUCUCCACCCGCACCAGCUCCAGCAGCACCCGCUCCCCCCGCACCAGCACCCACACCCGCAGUACCAGGCCCCGCCCCCUUCGAUGCCCCCGCCGCCGGGGGCGCCCCCCAAGGCCAUGGAUCUGGAGGUCACCGUCGUCUCGGGCAAGCACCUGAAGAACGUCAACUGGCGCCGCGGCGAUCUCCGCGCCUACGCCGUCGCCUACCUCGAUCCCUCCCGCCGCACCGCCACCCGCCCCGACGACGCCGGCGGCUGCAAGCCCGCGUGGAACGAGCGCAUCACCCUCCAGCUCCCGCCUCACCUCUCGCCGCACGACCCCUCGCUCCUCCUCUCCCUCGACGUGUUCCACUCCAAGCCGUCCGACUCGCCCAAGCCGCUCGUCGGCUCCGCCCGCUCGCCUCUCCGCGACCUCCUCUUCCCCGCCGGCCCUAACCCUAGCUCCGACUCCCCCACCUCACCGAUCAUCACCCUCCCGCUCCUGCGCCCCUCCGGCCGCCCUCAGGGCAAGCUCCGCAUCCGCGUCGCCCUUCGCGAGCGCUCGCCGCCUCCCCCUGAGCCGCAGUAUCCGCCUCCUUCCUCCUCCCCCUACUAUUUCCCAGCCCCCCCGCCUCCCACCUAUUCGGCACCGCCGCAGUACGGCUCAGACCAGUACUACCGUCCUAGCGGGUACUACUCAGCGCCACCAGCACCGCCUCCUUCUCAGUACGAGUACACCACAGGGCCCUCUGCACCUGUGGAGUACGGCAGGCAAUAUGAGCAAAGAGGAAGGACUGAGGGUGUGACUGGGCAGUAUGAUCCGAGAAGGACUGAAGGUGUUACUGGGCAGUAUGAGCCAAAAGGAAGGACUGAGGGUGUGACUGGGCAGUAUGAACAAAGAGGAAGGACUGAGGGGGGGACUCCCAGCGAAAGGUAUGGAUUAGGCACUGGGCUUGCUGUGGGUGCAGUUGCUGGGGGCGUUGGGGCGCUUGCAAUUGAUGAAGGUGUGAAGUAUAAGGAGGAAAAGGCGGCAGAGAGGGUGGGAGAGAAGGUGACUCCUGCCGCAAGGGAUGAUUACAGCGAGUAUCGUCGAGAAUAUUGAUGGGAGUUCACGAUUCUCAGAGCUUCCAGGAGUAAUAUACUGAUGUGUAGUUGUUUGAGGAACCUUUUCUGCUUUGCAUACUGUAAGCUGAACAACUUAUUGUUUGAUGCGUUUCUAAAUUCCUUCUCAAGUUUGUUAAGAGCUCAUAUACGCUGUACCAAGGUGUAUAUUUAUUCCUAGUUAUGUAGCUCCUGUAGGUUGCACCCAAUCUUCUUUUGCACUGAUGUAAUAAUAUCCUUGCAUGACUGCAACCUUAUGCAUAUCUCGAGGGUAGAGCGCUGCAUACCAUUGUGUAACAACAGAGAAAAGCUUUUCAUUGAGAUGUCUGGGAACUUGUCAGCUCCUAAACGCUGUGCACCUGUGCCGUAAUCCUUUUGCCUAAAAC
rnacentral:rRNA from 1 species